ACUUGUUCUUUAAAUGAGGACUAGUAUGAAAGGCACCACGAGGGUUACACUGUCUCCUCUUUCUAAUCAGUGAAACUAAUCUCCCCGUGAAGAAGCGAGGAUUUACCUAUAAGACGAGAAGACCCUAUGGAGCUUUAAAUAAUAAUAACAAUUGCUACUACACCUCUUAUUUCAGAAAUUUAUUAAUAACUUAGCAUCAUGAUUAUUAAUUUUAGGUUGGGGUGACCACGGAGCACAAAACAACCUCCAUGUUGAAACAGAGCAUAAACUCUAAGCAAAAAGCUACAACUUUACACAUCAACAAACUGACAUAAAUUGACCCAAUAUUAUUGACCAACGAACCAAGUUACCCUAGGGAUAACAGCGCAAUCCACUUCGAGAGCUCAUAUCGACAAGUGGGUUUACG
rnacentral:rRNA from 1 species